AAUCCGUGUUGCGAGCACUUUUUUUAGAGGUCCUUAAAACGCUCCCAUCUCUUAAAAAAUAAUUCGAGCUCCAUCUUUAUGAAUGAGGAUAUCUCAUCACGAAGCCU